rnacentral:rRNA from 1 species
AUGAACUGACCUCUGGUCUGGGGGCUGUACCACCAGGUGCAUCGCCCCGUAGCUAUGUCGGGAACGGAUAACCGCUGAAAGCAUCUAAGCGGGAAGCCAACUCCAAGAUCAGGAAUCGUUAUGAGGCUCGUGGGAGAUGACCACGUUGAUAGGCACCAGGUGGAAGCGCAGCAAUGCGUGUAGCCGAGGUGUACUAAUCCGCCCACAGAACU